CAGGAAUCCAGGCUGCACCUCCCUCCAGGGAACUCAGAUCAAAGCCAGGAGGAAGGAGGAGUGUGAACUUUGCACCCAGUGACUCACUGCAUCCCCCUAGGGCAAGUGCUCUCACCCGUGCAGAAUCCUGCCCUCCUUGCCACUGACGGGACCAUCCGCACUGGGUCAGCCUAUGAGCAACACUGACCUGAUUCACCUGCACGCCUUCAUUCCCCCACCUUCAUCCUCCUCCUCGCAGAGGUGAUCAGAUGUUUGCAGAAUCCAUCCCAGGAAACCACAUGACAUUUGGUCAUCUGCCAUUGCAUUCCUUUACGUGUAUGAUCAAGUGGUUCCCUGAGGGCUUUGAUGAUCAGGGCAGAGGCAGAAGGCACCACCUCAAUCUGGG
rnacentral:lncRNA from 1 species